rnacentral:rRNA from 1 species
AGUGAACGCUGGCGGUAGGCCUAACACAUGCAAGUCGAACGGCAGCACAGUAAGAGCUUGCUCUUACGGGUGGCGAGUGGCGGACGGGUGAGGAAUACAUCGGAAUCUACUUUUUCGUGGGGGAUAACGUAGGGAAACUUACGCUAAUACCGCAUACGACCUACGGGUGAAAGCAGGGGAUCUUCGGACCUUGCGCGAUUGAAUGAGCCGAUGUCGGAUUAGCUAGUUGGCGGGGUAAAGGCCCACCAAGGCGACGAUCCGUAGCUGGUCUGAGAGGAUGAUCAGCCACACUGGAACUGAGGCACGGUCCAGACUCCUACGGGAGGCAGCAGUGGGGAAUAUUGGACAAUGGGCGCAAGCCUGAUCCAGCCAUACCGCGUGGGUGAAGAAGGCCUUCGGGUUGUAAAGCCCUUUUGUUGGGGAAGAAAAGCAGCAGGUUAAUACCCCGCUGUUCUGACGGUACCCAAAGAAUAAGCACCGGCUAACUUCGU